rnacentral:rRNA from 1 species
GAUGAACGCUAGCUACAGGCUUAACACAUGCAAGUCGAGGGGCAGCAUGGUCUUAGCUUGCUAAGGCCGAUGGCGACCGGCGCACGGGUGAGUAACACGUAUCCAACCUGCCGUCUACUCUUGGACAGCCUUCUGAAAGGAAGAUUAAUACAAGAUGGCAUCAUGAGUCCGCAUGUUCACAUGAUUAAAGGUAUUCCGGUAGACGAUGGGGAUGCGUUCCAUUAGAUAGUAGGCGGGGUAACGGCCCACCUAGUCUUCGAUGGAUAGGGGUUCUGAGAGGAAGGUCCCCCACAUUGGAACUGAGACACGGUCCAAACUCCUACGGGAGGCAGCAGUGAGGAAUAUUGGUCAAUGGGCGCAGGCCUGAACCAGCCAAGUAGCGUGAAGGAUGACUGCCCUAUGGGUUGUAAACUUCUUUUAUAAAGGAAUAAAGUCGGGUAUGUAUACCCGUUUGCAUGUACUUUAUGAAUAAGGACCGGCUAACUCCGUG